CACGCACACACACACACACAAUGCAUCCCUAUACACACAGAAACACAACAUGCUUCCCUUACACACAGAAAAACACACAAUGCAACCCUUACACAUAAAGACAAUGCAUCAUUUGCACAUAUACACAGAAACACACAAUGCAUUCCUUACACACACAUGCAAACACACACUGCUUCUCUUACACACACACAGAAACACAAUGCAUCUCUUACACACACCUUACAGAAACACACUUUGCAUCCCUUAUGCAUACAAACACAGAUUCACACAAUGCAUCCCUUACACAAAACAAGAAACACACAAUACAUCCCUGAUACACACACACACACACUGCUUCCACUACACACAAACACACUGCAUCACCUACACAAACUGGUAUCCCUAUACACUACAUUACGUAAGCACACACAUUAGAUCCUCUACAGUAACACAUAACACAUCCCCUACACACUCCACUCCCUGUGAGCGAACUCAUGGGUGGAACAUGUAGGUGGACUUAUGGGUGGGCUUUAUGGGCAUACUCACCGUCAGGCCCUGGGGCCCAGACCUUGAGCUAUGUAAGAGGCC